GACGUAGGGCGCGAGCGUUGUCCGGAUUUAUUGGGCGUAAAGAGCGUGUAGGCGGCCAGGUAGGUCUGCUGUGAAAACUCGAGGCUCAACCUCGAGACGUCGGUUGAAACCGUCUGGCUAGAGUCCGGAAGAGGAGAGUGGAAUUCCCGGUGUAGCGGUGAAAUGCGUAGAUAUCAGGAGGAACACCAAUUGCGAAGGCAGCUCGCUGGGACGUUACUGACGCUGAGACGCGAAAGCGUGGGGAGCAAACAGG
rnacentral:rRNA from 1 species